UACGGAGGGGGCUAGCGUUGUUCGGAAUUACUGGGCGUAAAGCGCACGUAGGCGGCUUUGUAAGUUAGAGGUGAAAGCCCGGGGCUCAACUCCGGAAUUGCCUUUAAGACUGCAUCGCUAGAAUUGUGGAGAGGUAAGUGGAAUUCCGAGUGUAGAGGUGAAAUUCGUAGAUAUUCGGAAGAACACCAGUGGCGAAGGCGGCGACCUGGUCCGAUACUGACGCUGAGGCGCGAAAGCGUGGGGAGCAAACAGG
rnacentral:rRNA from 1 species